rnacentral:tRNA from 1 species
GCUACAAAAGCUCCUAUACCUGAGCGUCGGUCUUGUAAGCCGAAAGUAGGGCGAAGCCCUUGUGGCU